rnacentral:tRNA from 1 species
GGGGAUUUAGCUCAGUGGUAGAGCGCUUGCCUAGCAAGCACAAGGCCCUGGGUUUGGUGCCCAGCUCCG